AGAGGCUGGGGUGAUACAGCUAUAAACCAAGGGACCCCAAGUGUUGCCAGGAAACCCCCAGAAGCCAGGACAAAACAAAGUAGGAUCCUUCCCUAGAGAUUUCAGAGGGACCAUGGCCCUACUAACACCUUGAUUUUAGACUCGUGACCCCCAGAACUGUGAGAUAAUACAUUCCUGUGGUUUAAAGCCACCCAGUUUAUGGUGCUUUGCCAAGGCAGCUCCAGGAAAUGGAACAAAAGCUGAGCCCAGGCUGCAGGUAACAAACUGUCCAUGCUGGCAGGUGGCAGAGGGGGAAGGACAGGCAGAGAGGGCCGCAUGGAGGAGGCACCUCCUUUAGUUGUGCCUGAGGUUCAGGCAGAAGGCCCAGAGAACAGAAGUGAAACUAGAGGCUCAGCAUGGCUCCUGGUAGAAUUGGCUUUAAUGGCUCAAGUUUUUUCAUCUUUGCUUCCUCCAACUUGCCUGGAACAGGUACUGCACACGGUAGGUGCCCAUUACGUGCUUAGUGUUUAUGGAUGAGCUCUGCAUGUGGGAAAACAAACGACAUGAUUGGCCAGUUGGCCUGGAGAGAGCUAGCCCAGCUUUAUUUAAAAAGCCAUUCAGAGGCGGCUGCUAUGUGCUGAGUUGGCAGAGAAGCAUCAGGCCUCUGAAAGUCAGCAAUAAAGAGUCGGCUUACCGAGGCCACAUGCUGAGCCCAUAAUCCCACUUCAGAAGCUGUAGCUUUAGCCUGAGCAUGACCCGACACAUGAAAUUGCUUGGCUCUUCCCAGUAGCCAGAGCCACGGAGCACAGGAGUGAGAGGCCAGCCACAGAGGAGGGUGGAUAUCUGUGUACCGCGUGGGAUUCUGUGUGUCGCAGCGCCAGGCCUGGCAUAGAAGUCAGUGGUCAGCACUGGGGCUGGGGACUUGACUGAGCUGUUGACAGGCCACAGGGCCCCAGAGAGUGGCUGGACUUUGCUGUCUCGUCUGUACCUUGUGUGAGAGCUUGAGACUCAGAGGAGCCCGUGGGGCACAUGGAGGUGAACUUAGUCCCAGAUACAUUGUAUGGACGUGGUCAUGGGACACCAGUACUCAACAGCCUAGGCACAGAAAAGAACAUCACUAACACAGGCUGGAAUGGGUCACAGGCACAGGCUUUAUCAGGCGACAAGGAUCAUUGAUUGGCCAUGAGUCGCAGUCCUGUGGGUGAAGAACAAGCCACAGAUACUGGAGCAUCAAUAUCUGGGGGUCUUUGUGAUGGUGUCCAGAGAGUCCAGACCACUGAGGAGGUGGCGUCCACAGUGGAUGAAUACACAACGGGCAGGCCAGGUUCUGCCAGUGACCCCAAGCAGAGCACCAGCCCCUGUGGCCACCUACCCCGCUGUGCCCUCUGCUCCUAUGUCACUUGACCCAAAGCAGGUGGGGAGCAGGAGGCAGGGAGCCAGCAUCAGGGUGCAGAAAGGGCAGGGAGGGGACAAAGCCCAGAGGAGAGCUGGAGCCACCUCUCGGAGGAAGACCUGGCCCCAUCCCCUCCCCACUCCUACUGAGACCUUCCGCUGCAGUCAGCAAGGGAUGCAGGGCCCGGGGCUGAGUGCUGGGAAGGAGGGGCGGGUGUGAAGGGGGAAGGCAAAUGGGUGGAGCCGGUGCUGGAGCUGUCCCAGAGCUGGCUCAGAGCCCUGGGGAGGGAGCUGACCCUCUGAGCCUGGGUUAAGACGGAGGAGGAGGGAGUCAGCUCUCGACCCCAAAACCACCUGUUUCCUCUCACUCUAGCACUGGUGGAGGGGAAGCUGCUCAGGACAGGGCGCCACAGCUGGAGAGGGACGUGAUCAGAUGCAGGACAGAGCAGACAGGUCCUGGCACGGGCCAGGAGCUGAGACACUCAACACUGAUGGCUGCAAACCACCCGCACCAUCAGCCGGGGGCUCCCUCAGGGCUGGCUUUGGUGUCUAUCAGAAAAGGGUCUGAGGUCCUAGUCCCACCCGCUCAAUGCUUCUGCCAGGCAGGACAGGGCCAAGGAGCAAUAGUGGUUGCAUUUCCUUUAAAACUACUGUUUCAUUAAAAAACAAAACAAAACAAAACAAAAAACUAGCUCUGAACAUGAAGAAUUAUAUCCAAGAAAGACACCUUGACAUUUUUUGCUUUAUUAAACAUCAUUCACUGAGAAUUUCCAAAGCACUGUGUGGUGCCUAGACCUGUGUACCAGCGCUCUGGGGGUCGG
rnacentral:lncRNA from 10 species